CGUUAGGCAGGCAAUUCUGAUAACAGACGGACUAUCUUAAAGGUCAGUAAAUAUUAGUAAAGAUUUACUCAGAGUACUUGGUUAGGAAAUUGCUUGAGCUACCAUUGUCUUGACUAAACAAUUGGUGCAUAGCUCUGGCCCUUGCCAGGGCUCAAGGUUCACCAGCUUUCUGGGCUCCUUGUUUACACUUCUCUGAUAGUGAAGACAAUGGGUGGCUUCCCACAUCAAGACUUAACUUGUACAUGUGUUGCAUAUGCUCUACA